rnacentral:rRNA from 1 species
AUCCUGGCUCAGGAUGAACGCUAGCUACAGGCUUAACACAUGCAAGUCGAGGGGCGAGCAUGACCUAGCAAUAGGUUGAUGGCGACCGGCGCACGGGUGAGUAACACGUAUCCAACCUACCGGUUAUUCCGGGAUAGCCUUUCGAAAGAAAGAUUAAUACCGGAUAGUAUAGCGAGAAGGCAUCUUCUUGUUAUUAAAGAAUUUCGAUAACCGAUGGGGAUGCGUUCCAUUAGUUUGUUGGCGGGGUAACGGCCCACCAAGACAUCGAUGGAUAGGGUUCUGAGAGGAAGGUCCCCCACAUUGGAACUGAGACACGGUCCAAACUCCUACGGGAGGCAGCAGUGAGGAAUAUUGGUCAAUGGACGAGAGUCUGAACCAGCCAAGUAGCGUGAAGGAUGACUGCCCUAUGGGUUGUAAACUUCUUUUAUAUGGGAAUAAAGUGAGCCACGUGUGGUCUUUUUGUAUGUACCAUACGAAUAAGGAUCGGCUAACUCCGUGCCAGCAGCCGC